AAUAAGUGUAGUUUUACACGGUUCAUGUUCAAUGUUUAACCGUUCGUCUUAUUAGAAAAACUUUUACGAUUAAUAUUGUUACUAGUACAUGAUAAAACAUGAAUAGCACUUUAUGUAUGGCUAACAUUUUUAAAAUUUUUUUAUAAAUUUUUCAAAUAAAACGAACGAUCAAAUGUUGGACAUGGAUACCUACGGUUGCACUUUUU
rfam:Oryza barthii chromosome 12, whole genome shotgun sequence.